ensembl:snRNA U6 U6 spliceosomal RNA
GUGCUCACUUCAGCAGCACACAUACUAAAACUGGAAUGAUACGGAGAAGAUUAGCAGGGCCCCUACACAAGGAUGACACACAAAUUCAUGGAGUGCCCCAUGUUUUU